AAUAAAUAAUGAAAAUAUUUGUAUUUAAGUAAAAGAUUAAAUGUUAAAUCAUUAAAUUUAUAAGAUUUGGCGGUAUUUUAUAAAAUUAGAGGAAUCUGUAAUUUAAUUGAUGAUCCACGAUMAGAUUAACUUAUUAAAUUUAUUUAUGUAUUGCUGUCUCAAAAAUUUUAUUAAGUAAAAUUUGAUUUUUAAAAUUUUAGUUAAAUUCAAGUCAAAAUAUAGUAUAGAUGAGAUAUUUAUGGAUUACAUUUUUAUUAAUAAUGGAUAAUUAAAUUUAAUUUUAAUUUGAAAUUGGAUUUAAUAGUAAAUUUAAUUAAUUAAUUAAUUUGAAUAUAAAAUGUAAAAUGUGU
rnacentral:rRNA from 1 species